rnacentral:misc_RNA from 1 species
GUGCAAUUAUGCAAAAUUUGCUAUAUUAUACAAAUAUGAAUUUUUUGUUUGCUAUAUGUGAAAGUUAUCCUAAAAACAAGGGCUUAGGCCCAAAAUAAUAAAAUACAACAUACUAAGAAGGAACAUAUAAAAAUGAAAAUGGAUUUCUUGAUGAAAAUCUUCAACUCUAGCCUGUCCGAAUUCUUUCAACUUGGGACAUGUACGCCUUUUCUGGUGAGCUUGGUUCGACAUUAAAAGAGAAGGACAACUUAUACUUAGGGAGUUUGGGUUUUAAACUACCCAAAAUGCGUAGGAGAUUUAGAUCCGAUGGACUCCGACGACGCUUACAUGCAGC